CCUACGGGAGGCAGCAGUGAGGAAUAUUGGUCAAUGGGCGUAAGCCUGAACCAGCCAAGUCGCGUGAGGGAUGAAGGUUCUAUGGAUCGUAAACCUCUUUUAUCAGGGAAUAAAGUGUGGGACGUGUCCUGUUUUGUAUGUACCUUAUGAAUAAGGAUCGGCUAACUCCGUGCCAGCAGCCGCGGUAAUACGGAGGAUCCGAGCGUGAUCCGGAUUUAUUGGGUUUAAAGGGUGCGUAGGCGGCCUUUUAAGUCAGCGGUGAAAGUCUGUGGCUCAACCAUAGAAUUGCCGUUGAAACUGGGAGGCUUGAGUAUGUUUGAGGCAGGCGGAAUGCGUGGUGUAGCGGUGAAAUGCUUAGAUAUCACGCAGAACCCCGAUUGCGAAGGCAGCCUGCCAAGCCAUGACUGACGCUGAUGCACGAAAGCGUGGGGAUCAAACAGGAUUAGAUACCCCAGUAGUC
rnacentral:rRNA from 1 species